GAGAAUAAAAUCUACUAUCUUUUAUGAUUUAAAAGGUUUUUCAUCACUUUUAUCGCUGGGACUCAGCUUAAUAAAUAAUCCACAUCAUCGAAUCACCCCUGCACUACGGCGAAUGAUAUUCUUUAGUAUCACGACCACGAAUUAUCCAUGCACUACGGCUAAAGAUAAUCAGAUCAUGCCAUAAAAUAAUUCAUCUUUGCAUUACGGCCAAAGAGAAUCCAUAGCCAUAAUCAUAC
rnacentral:lncRNA from 1 species